AACGAACGCUGGCGGCAUGCUUAACACAUGCAAGUCGAACGUGAAGGGGACUUCGGUCCCUGGAAAGUGGCGCACGGGUGAGUAACACGUGGAUAAUCUACCCGAUGAUCUGGAAUAACACUUCGAAAGGGGUGCUAAUACCGGAUAAGCUCACGACGUCUUCGGACGAUGUGGGAAAAGGGGGCAUCGGCUCCUGUCAUCGGAUGAGUCCGCGGCCCAUUAGCUAGUUGGUAGGGUAAUGGCCUACCAAGGCUACGAUGGGUAGCUGGUCUGGGAGGAUAAUCAGCCACACUGGAACUGAGACACGGUCCAGACUCCAACGGGAGGCAGCAGUGGGGAAUUUUGCGCAAUGGGUGAAAGCCUGACGCAGCAAUGCCGCGUGAGUGAUGAAGGCCUUCGGGUCGUAAAGCUCUGUCAGAGAGGAAGAAACUCCCGUCGGUUAAUACCCGGCGGGCCUGACGGUACCCUCAAAGGAAGCACCGGCUAACUCCGUGCCAGCAGCCGCCGUAA
rnacentral:rRNA from 1 species